UAAAUGAACUUAAAACAAUGAUAGUUCGGUCCGCACACCUUACAGUGCAACUCCUUGUUAGAGGAGAUGAGAUAUGGGAGGAUUCUAGACAAUUCCCAUAAGUGAGGUGGCACCGUGUCAUUGACGCCCUCGCAGGUUGUUUUUUCCUGCGGGGGCUUUUCC
rnacentral:sRNA from 1 species